UAGGAGGUGGCAGUUGUCUGAGGAGAGAUGGCCAUUGGGGGGAUGGCCUGAAAGGGUUCAUCUUGUAUGCCAGUUCUUCCCUUGACUCUCUGUGCUUCCUCUCCACCAUGCCUUUCUGCCAUGCUCUCUUACCCUGGAGCCAACUGACGGUGGACUGAAACCUCUACAGACUAUUUACAUCUCCUGCUGAGAUCUGUUAUCUAUGAAAGAUGACAGUCUGGAUCAAAAGUGAUACAGAAGGCCCCACCUCAUCACAUGUGCAGAUUAUAUUCAUUGCAAGAGCAAAUGAAGUGGCAUACAGAAAAUUGAAGUGAAAUACAAAAACUGCCAGACUGCUUACAACUCUACAUUUGCCUUAGUUGAACACAGUUUGAAUCAUUGGAUGCCUAUGGUUGACUGCAGAGCAGCUUCUGUGACUGGCUGAGACUCAGCUAUUUAUUACAAAGCCAAAUUUCAAGAUAAGUGAUAUAUUGCAGUCCCAAUGAGAGUCCCUAAGUCAGAUUAAAAAGAGAAAGAAAGAAGACUAAGAAAUGAAAAAUUUUCUUUAUCAAAGAUUUAUGGACUCUUCCACUUUUAUCUGAAGCAACCUCUCCUCAAUUGCCUUAAUGAAUGUAUUUUCUUGUAACUAAUCAGAACACAGCCAUUCUCGAAGUACAUUUAUUUAGAAGACAGGUAAUAAUCCAUUUAGUGGUAAACUAAACUCAUC